rnacentral:rRNA from 1 species
GACGAACGCUGGCGGCGUGCUUAACACAUGCAAGUCGAACGGAAAGGCCCUGCUUUUGUGGGGUGCUCGAGUGGCGAACGGGUGAGUAACACGUGAGUAACCUGCCCUUGACUUUGGGAUAACUUCAGGAAACUGGGGCUAAUACCGGAUAGGAGCUCCUGCUGCAUGGUGGGGGUUGGAAAGUUUCGGCGGUUGGGGAUGGACUCGCGGCUUAUCAGCUUGUUGGGGGGGUAGUGGCUUACCAAGGCUUUGACGGGUAGCCGGGCUGAGAGGGUGACCGGCCACAUUGGGACGGAGAUACGGCCCAGACUCGUACGGGAGGCGGGAGUGGGGAAUAUUGCAUAAUGGGCGGAAGCCUGAUGCAGCAACGCCGCGUGCGGGAUGACGGCCUUCGGGUUGUAAACCGCUUUCGCCUGUGACGAAGCGUGAGUGACGGUAAUGGGUAAAGAAGCACCGGCUAACUACGUG